rnacentral:rRNA from 1 species
GAUGAACGCUGGCGGCGUGCCUAAUACAUGCAAGUAGAACGCUGAAGGAGGAGCUUGCUCUUCUGGAUGAGUUGCGAACGGGUGAGUAACGCGUAGGUAACCUGCCUGGUAGCGGGGGAGAACGAUUGGAAACGAUAGCUAAUACCGCAUGACAACAGUUAUUGCAUGAUAACUGUUUAAAAGGGGCAACUGCUCCACUACCAGAUGGACCUGCGUUGUAUUAGCUAGUUGGUGAGGUAACGGCUCACCAAGGCGACGAUACAUAGCCGACCUGAGAGGGUGCGCGGCCACGCUGGGAUUGAGACACGGCCCAGCCUCCUACGGGAGGCAGCAGUAGGGAACCUCCGGGAAUGGCAGGAAGUCUGACCGAGCAACGCCGCGUGAGUGACGAAGGUUUUCGGGUCGUAAAGCUCUGUUGUAAGAGAAGAACGAGUGUGAGAGUGGAAAGUUCACACUGUGACGGUAUCUUACCAGAAAGGGACGGCUAACUACGUG